UAAGUAAAAUCCACUGUGCAGCUCAGU
rnacentral:piRNA from 1 species